rfam:Ciona savignyi cont_31979, whole genome shotgun sequence.
GGUGCGAUGGCCGAGUGGUUAAGGCGUUGGGGUCGAAAAUAAUGGGAUAUUCCCGCGCAGGUUCGAAUCCUGUUCGCAGCG